ensembl:lncRNA
UUUCAUCCGUUUAUAGGUUUUUAUUCAUAGUAUUGAUACAUGCUGUAUCAUAACAAUAAACAUGAAUAGAUAUUCAAGGGUGCUUUGUGAAGCAGUCAUAAUUCUUCAAUUCACUAUGGCAUUCCUAAACAACAUUGUUACAUUUAGCAACAAUACAAAGAUAGGCCUAUUGUAAGCCUUUUGGUAUGAAAUGUACCCGUGUAAAACAAACAGCACUGUAGUGUACUAUAACUAUUAAACAGCAAUGACCCUUUACACUGUGUAUAGAGAUAACAUCACUCCCCCAUUGCAGCUUUCAAUAUCAAUCAUGUUCCGAAUUGAAUUCUUGUCAGUUCUUCACCAAGUUCAUGUAACAUUACAUUGACUAAGAUAAACUAGGGGUUUCAGAACUCCUACUAUGUUCCUCUCACUGGUCUGGGUCUCUAUAGCAGGGUCUCUAUUUAGGGUCACUAUUUAGGGUCACUAUUUAGGGUCACUAACCCUUUAUACUGGUGAAGCUGGACAUAAAAGAGACACUUCUCCUAAUUGGAUCACUGGAAGACCACUGGAUCACCGGAAGACCACUGGAUCACUGGAAGACCACUGUAUCACCGGAAGACCACUGGAUCACCGAAAGAGUACUGGAUCACCGGAAGACUACUGGAUCACCAGAAGACUACUGGAUCACCGGAAGACCACUGGAUCACUGGACAACUACCAAUGGCAUGGUAAUCUGUUCUAUUGGAGAAUCCAGUGUAAAUCUAAGGUCUGGUUACAUCCACUGUUUCCUCUAAACCAGACUAGUGGGAUCCCAUGGUUAUGACACAGUAACCUACAGUACGUUCAUGUUUACAAUUACAGUAUACCACUAAGAAACAUUCAUUGUGUCGGUGAUACAUUCCUAUGCUGUCGUGUUAAAGUUAUUUCCCUUAUUACAAAGUGUGUACUGCAUGUUCUGAAUCUAAAGGAAAUAUAAAUAGUAUUUCAUGCUAGCUAUGUUAAGAGACCAUAUGGCCAUUAAUCUAAACAUCCCAAUUCUGACAAACAUGGAGGACAACUUGGAGGAAUCUCGGUGAAUUCACACAUACGGUGGCAUUCGUCCAGUGAGGUCCAUCCAGGGUGGCUGUCCUGGAUGCCUGAUACCAAACUGUGGUGCCGUGUGUGAAUCCAGCUGGAUUCCACCCAGACUAGUUCUCAAACCAAUCUGGCGUCACUUUCCAUGUCACUUAACCAUCUACUAAUCUCUUCAAGCUUCAAUAAUUCAGAUAUGUACAUUAUGUACAUAUUAUGUACACACACAUACAUUAUUAAAAAAGUGCAAAGUGUCAGAGUGUUUUGGUGAAAAGAAUGUAUGUAAAAAUAUCAAUCUUUUCACUGUGCAAAAUCAAAAAGGUUCAAUGGAAAAAAGUUGGGCGUGACCAAAUAAAAAAAGACAUUAGAAAAUACAAUUGGAAGCAUGUUGGUUGAGUACAUUUUGAAUCUUGGUCAAAGGAUUUUUCCUGUAUUUCUUUGCAUGCAAACAUAGCAGACAAAGAAAGUAAAGCAAGUACCAAAUGAAGGAAUCUUGUCUCCAGAAUCAAGAGCAUUGAUGAUAACAGACAAAAAAACAUUUUUAUAAUCCCUAUGACCAACUGGAUUCUCUGAGUUCCAAGAUGCUACCAUUUUGAUUUCGCUCUCCUUUCCUGCCACUCGUGACAUUAUUCAGGAAAACACUGGAUAAGCCUAAAACAGAGGUGCUAAUCUCUGUGUACAUGCCUUGCCAAACACAGACAAGAGAAUGGCAAUAAACAGGCGGACUGGGGAAUUUCGUCAGGUUUUGAAAAAUAUUUGACAUAUUUAAUAUUUCUCCAUUGCGAUGUCUUUAUUUCUUGGGUUUUGGUCUUCUUGGGUUAGCGUGAGGUAACACCAUUUGGUGUCUUAAACUGAUUUUAAUGGAUCGCUCCCUUUAAGGCACAGAAUUACAAAAAGAAAAUGGGUGGUUAAAGUUGAGGAUGUUACCAGCUCAAGAACAGAGCUCAAUAAGAAUGGAUUGAUGUAUGUUGGGUGAAUAACACUUUAACUGGUUUGAAAGGGAGAGGUAGUUUAAAAGAAUAUUGAUUUUUUUAAAUGGAGGGAUAAUCUUAUAUGGUCAUAACUGCGCGUGUGGAACCUUAAAGUAUCGAUCUUCAAUGUUAAACUUUUCAGAAUAAGAAUCUGAACUUGGUUCGUCCCAAACUUCAACCACAAUGGGGGAAAUCAAAGGUGCAAGGGUAACAAACAAAAACUCAACUAAAACAAAACCGUUUUAGGAAACAGAGACUAAUUAUUCUUGUAGUGUAAGUGGAAUCCAGGGGUAUUGGAUAUGCUCCAGUGAUCAAUCUUAUCCAUGUUGUCGUCUUCAGGGUGGAAGGUCAGAGGUGUUGUGUCUUGCCUCAUCUCAGCAGGUUAGCGGAGGGCUUGCAGUGCAGGGUGAGCUGUCGUGAGCUGUACCCAGACAUCCCAACUCCCAUCAGCCCUAGCAGCAUGGCCACCCUCGACAUCAUGGGGCCUUCCCGGCUCUGCAGCACGGUCUGGGCAGCUUGAGUCUGAAAGAUCAAGAGAGAGGGGUCGUCACCAUGGCGACAGCAGAGAAACCUUCCAUCUGGCCUGUGCUGUUCUGGAGUCCUUAAACAUGUGACAGUGGUCAAGCAUAUUUUUCAUCCCCGUGAUGGUCUUACCAUGGGGAAGAUCCGGGCUACUGGGGGGAGGAACAUAACUACAAAUCAUUUGUAAACUGCAAAUUGACUGCAAGAAGCCCAAACAGAUAUAAUAUUUGAUUAAAACUUAAUAAUUUCAAACCUUGAUUACAUUUAUAUACGAUCAGAUAUAUCUCUCUAUUAUGGGUGGGAAUACUUUGGAACAGAUUUCAAAAUUAAAAUCACUUGGAGCUGAUUUGCUGGUGUUUUUACAGUUUUAUGUUCAACAAUAAAUAAUAAAAAAUGGUUCAAAAAAAUAUUUGCUCCGAAAACUUGGGGGGGCCAAAUAAAAUCAGAUAUAAAUUGAGUUAUUAUUUUAUCUUAGCUCUAUGUUGUUAGAUUAUAGAAAAGAGCCUUAAAGUCAAAUAUAUAUAUUUAUUUUACGAGUAAUUGCACAUUUAUGACACCACUCAGCUUCUGUGACUGAGAAUGUUUAUUUUAAUCUAACCUGUGAGUUAUCUAACUUAGCUAACUGGUGAGCUCCAAACAGUUAAUCAGGCUUGACACUUCUCAACCUGAAAAACGAAAUAGGCUUCUAAAUCUAGCUGCAUGGUCCUAAAAUACCCUUGGGGCGAUUGAGAGCAUGGAUCUCAGGUCAUUUGACUGUAGAUCUUACUAAGAGGACAUUAACUUGACCCUGAAGCAGCUUGUGUCGUCAAUGCAGAUCCAUUCAAAGGCUGCAGGGGGGACUAAUCCUGCUUAUCCUGCUCACCCGGAAACACACUGGACACCCGCUGGGCUCUGGACGGUGACACUGUCAAGACCCUUAACUAGUCUAUACAAUACAAUACAGGAUAUGGCCAGAUAGAUGUACAGGUAACUGACAAAAUAAAGGAAACAUCAACAUAAAGUGUCUCGGGCAUUGGGCCAACACGAGCCGCAGAACAACUUCAAUGCGCCUUGGCAUAGAUUCUACAAGUGUCUGGAACUCUAAUGGAGGCAUGCAAAACUCUUCUUCCACUUGAAAUUCCAUCAUUUGGUGUUUUGUUGAUGUUGGUGGAAAAUGUUUUUUCUGAUGCUGCUCCAGAAUCUCUCAUAAGUGGUCAAUUGGGUUGGGAUCUGGUGACUGAGACACACACACACACACACACACACACACACACACACACACACACACACACACACACACACACACACACACACACACACACACACACACACACACACACACACACACAGCCAAAACACCCUACGCUUCUUUAAGACCCCUCUUUCAAAGUCACUUCUAGCCAUGAUAGCUAAAAUAAUGGACAACAGGGCAUUUGUAUACAUGACCCUAAGCAUGAUGGGAUGUUAAUUGCUUAAUUAACUCAGGAACCACACCUGUGUGGAAGCACCUGCUUUCAAUAUACUUUGUAUCCCUCAUUUACUCAAGUGUCUCCUUUAUUUUUGCAGUUACCUGUACAUCGUAAAAUAAGGUAAACAUGCACUCAAUAUCAAACAGUUUUGCUUCCAUUCCAUAUUGUUGAGUCACACAAUAUAGCAAAACAGUGUCAAUUAAUAGGUGAUCAAAUUAUUUUGUUAUUAAUGUGUGAGAGUUCUAUUUGAUUGACAGGCUCUUCUAGACUGUGCUCUAAAGGCAUAUUUAUCUAAGCAUCUAUUACCACACUCAUGCUGCUUACGCACCUGCAAGUAUCUGAUGUAUCCAGGGGUCAGUCGAGGGAUGCGGAAAAACAUCUUAGUGGUCUCUAGAACCUUUUCCCAGUAGAAACCAGAUCAACUCUCCAACAACCCUGAGGAGUUUCUUUUUUAGCAACCUGGCUCUAUGUCCCUUCUCUCUCCUUCUCUCACUCUGGCCUUGGUGUCCUCCACUGGGCUGAGUGCGGCGGUGGAAGCUCUCUCCUGUGUCCGAAGAACACACACGCCUGCUCAAAAACACCAACACACCUGCACUGUCAAGGGCUGUUUUGAUCUCUCCUGAGAGACUCAUCCCUACAGGUGAUAUAUAAAGC